GGAGUCAUGUGGACAAGUAAACAUUUGUUUCAUUAUCAAUGUCCCUCCUCUGUUUUAAUAAACAGACAUACAGUACAGCUCAGAAAUCAUAUGAAUAUUUGUCCACAUCACUCCACCAAAAUAACUUUAAGGAAUCUCAAUAUGGACCUGGAAACAGUUCAAAUAGGUCUAGCAUAUGGACACAGGAAAUAACAGUCCUUAAUCUUAGAAGAGUUAA